rnacentral:lncRNA from 1 species
AAUGAAUCCAUGGUGAUGGAUGCCGGGGAGUGGUUACCCUUGGAGUGAUACUGACUGACAGAAGACACAAUACAGCCUGCUGUGGCCUGAGAAAUGCUCUAACUCUUGAUCUAUGUGGCGGUCCGAUGAGUGUGUUCAUAUGUGAAACUCAUCCAGCUUGGCUUUAUGAUCAUACACCCUGCACUGAGUUCCAGCUCACAUCAAAACUGCGGGUUGGAGCCCUCCUGCUCAGGGAAGCCUCAGAAAGGGUCUGCUUGGCCAACGGAAGAUGGAGCUCGGAGAGGCUUUAUGCUCUUGCAGUGAGAUGUAUGUCUUCAAAGUAUCCCUUUAGAAAAACAAAACGUAAAGCACCCCCACCCUGAUCACACAAUGCAUUCUUGUUCCCUUUGAAAUUUUAGGAAAUUUUUUUAAAGCACCAAGAAGAAAAAUAAAUUACAUCUAUAUCUCCACCCAUGAAAAUGGGGUCCCUUCUCAUAGCGCCUUUUUUUUCUUACUUCGUAAGUCUUGACCCUUUCACUACCAUUUAAUAACCUCCAGGCACAUCCAUGUUAUUAGCUC